GGGAAUAUUGGACAAUGGGGGGAACCCUGAUCCAGCCAUGCCGCGUGUGUGAAGAAGGCCUUAUGGUUGUAAAGCACUUUAAGCGAGGAGGAGGCUACUGAGACUAAUACUCUUGGAUAGUGGACGUUACUCGCAGAAUAAGCACCGGCUAACUCUGUGCCAGCAGCCGCGGUAAUACAGAGGGUGCGAGCGUUAAUCGGAUUUACUGGGCGUAAAGCGUGCGUAGGCGGCUUUUUAAGUCGGAUGUGAAAUCCCCGAGCGUAACUUGGGAAUUGCAUUCGAUACUGGGAAGCUAGAGUAUGGGAGAGGAUGGUAGAAUUCCAGGUGUAGCGGUGAAAUGCGUAGAGAUCUGGAGGAAUACCGAUGGCGAAGGCAGCCAUCUGGCCUAAUACUGACGCUGAGGUACGAAAGCAUGGGGAGCAAACA
rnacentral:rRNA from 1 species